CCUGACUGGAUGCUAACAACUUUGUUAAUAGUAGUUUUCAUAGGCCUUUCAGUCAAUGCAUUCUUAAAGGGUGUCCAAACAUGGAAAAAAGAAACCAUUAUUAUGAAGGAAGCUAGGCAGAAUUCACGGCUAAAUGAUAAUGGAAGAACCGAUAAAAUGCUGCACAACUUCAAACAGAAGACACGGUCAAUGGAAGUCAAACAAAUACCAACCAACCAAGGAAAAAAGUUUCUGUUAUUGACAAUAUUUAUUGGAAGGAACUUGGACUUCUUGUAACUGUGUGGAUCUUGAUACUUGCACUACAGAUAGGAAAAAAUUACAUUACAAAUUGCUCAGCUAUGUAUUGGGUAUUGAAUCUAAUUGCAGGUCCCUGUCACUGUUGGAACAACUUUAUAUGAAGCCGUGCUUCUAUAUACAAAGGGCAGAGAGUGAUAUCCUCAAAGGGUGAUCAACAAACACGUUUGAGUGAACGGCAAAUAAUUCUAUAUUGCACUUGUGGCAUACUUGCUGGCAUAAUUUGUGGUUUGCUUGGCCUUGGUGGAGGAUUCAUCUUGGGACCCCUUUUCAUUGGAUUAGGAAUUCCUCCUCAGGUACGUACGUUUUAUCCUUGUAUGACUAUUUUAAUGUUGGUCCACCUGGAACUCACUCAUUGGGAUUUUUUUCUACCAAAGUUUCAAGUGCUACAUCCACUUUUGCAAUGACAUUUUCUGCAUCUAUGUCAGUGGUGGAAUAUUACCUUCUCAAACGUUUCCCGAUUCCUUACGGUAAGUACGGAUCAAUGGACAUAAAUUAAAGGAAUUAGAGGAGUAAUUCUAUCAUUUCCACGUGCAGACACAUAGUUAGGCCCAAGUGAUUAAUUACUUGGUUAAAAGAAAGAAUAAAUAAUAUAUGUAGUGACAGAAUAAAUAGUGUAAUAUUAUCAUAAGCUGUCAUGUCAUGCAAAAUUACUUGACUUUUAUACCAGACUGUUGUGAAAUAUAGUGGAGGAUUAUGUUUCCGAUGGUGGGGUGGCAGUUCCGGUGAUGGCGAUACCAAGUUCUUGUGGUGAUACUACAAGGUCUUCAGUAUAUAGAUCAAGUAUAUUCAAAAGAGAGUGAAUACAUAGUGUAGGAGUCUCUUUAUAUAAGGUGAUUUAUGCGAAAAAGUUUUGUUACGUAGUUAUGUUAUAUGGCUAUUGUCAUUGUUAAUUCAUGUGUCAUGUGUUAAGUCUAUUUUUUUAACGUAAAACCUUAAUUCGGUUUUAUCUAAGACUCAUAUUAGAUAAAUCCUGACUAGUUAUAUCUUUUAAAGGGGUAGAUCGAACAUAAGUUGGACCGACCUCCACAACAAAGAUGAUAUCUUUUAUUUAGAUAACUAUUAAACUAAAAUCUAAAAGAAGGAGGUUGUUACACUAAAAGUACAAAUUAAAUUACUUGCUAAUAUGUUUUGAUUAUCAUGCAGCACUUUACUUUGUAGCUGUAGCCACUGCUGCUGCACUUUCUGGGCAGCAUUUGGUGAGAAAGCUUAUUGCUAUACUGGGGAGAACCUCUUUGAUCAUUUUCAUCCUUGCGCUCACAGUUUUUGUGAGUGGCAAGUGCAAUUUUCGGAGAUUCUUUUGGAUUCUUCCUUUUAGUGAUCAGGGGUACUACUGUAUCAGUACUAUAUUACUAACUUGUGGCUGCUGUUUACUCAUUAUUUUAUUAAAAUACAAAAGACAACUUGUCUUGCUUUUGGUUAUAGUGAGUAAAAAAUAUGAAUAAAAUAUCAAUGAAUUUAGGCUGAAUCAGUUGGAAUAUACUCAUAUGAUAAAAGUUUUCAAAGUAGUUUUUUUUAUACAAAAAUUUAAUAAUAAUUUAUUCUUUUGCCACACCAUCUCAUUCAUCAACAUGAUUUGGUAAUAAGAUGAUGAGUUAAUAACACAAUGCAUUUCAAAUUACACAAAUAGUGAGCAUACAUUUUUACUUGCUUACUUCAAAAAGAAAAUUACUUUAGAGAAAACACAUGCUUUCACAUUCCAAGUAGUAUAUUACAAAUUUACAAUGACUUAACUUUUUUUUUCUUUUUUUCUUUUCCAAAUUACAGGUGGAGUAGGCAUAGCAAACUUCAAUAUUAAAAGGGUUGAAAAGAAGGAGUACAUGGGGUUUGAAGACCUUUGCUCGUACAGGGUUAGAAAUUAAAGAUGGAGAUGUGUAGUUUCUAAGCUAAACCCUUCACAACAGUUUUGUGUUUUCCAGAAUUGUAUUAAGAAAUUUAUCUUUGUUUCUUAACUAAACUAAUUGAUUAUUCAGUAGAAAUCUAUGACUAUUUUAAAGCCGCAC